GUGGGGAGUUUUGCACAAUGGGCGCAAGCCUGAUGCAGCAACGCCGCGUGUGUGAUGAAGGUCUUCGGAUUGUAAAGCACUUUCGACCGGGACGAAACAACCCUGGCUAACAUCCAGGGUCUUGACGGUACCGGGAGAAGAAGCACCGGCUAACUCUGUGCCAGCAGCCGCGGUAAUACAGAGGGUGCAAGCGUUGUUCGGAAUUAUUGGGCGUAAAGCGCGUGUAGGCGGUCUUGCAAGUCGGGUGUGAAAUCCCUCGGCUUAACUGAGGAAGUGCGCCCGAAACUGCAGGACUUGAGUACCGGAGAGGGUGGCGGAAUUCCCCAAGUAGAGGUGAAAUUCGUAGAUAUGGGGAGGAACACCGGUGGCGAAGGCGGCCACCUGGACGGAUACUGACGCUGAGACGCGAAAGCGUGGGGAGCAAACAGGAUUAGAUACCCUAGUAGUCC
rnacentral:rRNA from 1 species